rnacentral:lncRNA from 1 species
GAGUAAUGCAGCUUACAUAACUGAAGAAGCAUUUCAGCCAGAGAAAAGGGCACAAAGGGGACCAGGCCAAAGCUUUUGUAAUUUACAGAGAGCAUUUGUCACUCCGGAAGUGGUAUAGGAGUGUGUUACCACCUACUCGACCCAAAACGGACCUGGUGCAAACAACUCCAAGCACCAACAAAGCAGGAAGGGCAGAGGAUUCAUCCAUCAGGCCUUGUGCUAUCCAUCCAGACUUUCUGAGAGAGAAAUCUACAAGAGCCAGCCCUUAAAAGUGUGGCUUAGUUUCUCAAAGAAGGACCAAAGUUUUGUCAAGAACACCCAGAUGAAGACCUUCCUAGACCUGUAAACUGGGAUUACCAAGUUCUUGACUUCACAAGGAAGUUUCAACCAAUUCUGAUGGAACAACCAGAGAGGCCCAAAUGACUGCCACCCAUGAGCCAAGGACCUGAUCUCUUUCCUUUAGACCUAAUACUCUACCGGAGAUCCACAACCUUCCUAAUCCCCACCCCCUCCUCGUCCCGCCCCCGCGCCUCAAAAACUAUGGAGAAAAAGAAGGUGUGCCCAAGGCUGGACCGAAGUCAUCCUGCCCCUUCUUCAAAAGAGAGACACCUCCCAAGGCCAACGCCCUCCGGAGGGGCCCAGGUGCUCCUCCCUUCUGGCAUCUAUUCCGUCUGGCAUCUAUUCCGUCUGGCAUCUAUUCCUCUGCAAAGGAUCAGAAAGGAAGCCGCUGGCUCAAUGGAUUCUGGAUUUCGGGUAGACCUGACUGCUUUGGGGCAUCCUCAAUCGGGCGGUGAAGCCUCUGGGGGCAGAGGAGCGUCGUGGGAGAGGAGCGUCGUGGGAGAAAGACAAGCUAGGCUGCUGCUUCCCUACCCAUGCCAACUUCCCGGGUCUCGUCUUGAAACAAGAGCAGAGGCCUGAGACCCGGGCGCCAUUGCUGGCCAGGCUCCCCUCCCCCACACUCCUUUCUUUGCUUCUCGAAGACCCGGGAGGGAGGAGGCGGCGAGCGCCUCGGUGGAUAGAGCUGCUAUUGUGACCUUCCCGGGCUAAGCGGGGAACCCAGCGGAGUGUGUACUGCCCGCGGUGGCGGGGGAGGAGGUGACUGUGUGCAAGCCUCGAGUGCAGAGGGGGUGGCACCCGGGAAUAAAUAAAGGCUUGCAACCUCGGGCACUUGGACCCUU